AAUUAUAUUUUACCAGAUGGCUCAAAGAACACCUCAGUGUCAAUCAGUCCAUCUGGUGAAAUAGUGGAGGGCAGUUCAGUGACUCUGACCUGCACCAGUGAUGCCAACCCACCUUCGGACAAAUACACCUGGUACAAGAAGAAUGUAACCUCACCAAAAGCAUCAGGACAGAGUUACAGCAUCAAUAACAUCAUUUCUGAGGACAAAGGAGAAUAUUACUGUGAGGCCCAGAAUGGAAGAGGAUCUAUGAACUCUACAGCUCUGAUGAUCAUUGUAGCAGGUAAAGUUUCAUCUCAAUACUUCAAUACAAAACUACAUCUUUCAAUCUAAUCUUAAUCAUUAUACUUUGGCAUGUUACACCUUAGUUUAUAACUAUACAUUGGGUUGUAAAAUCCCUUAACAAGUAUUGCAUUAAGUUCAUUUUUAGUUCAUUAUUUCAUGCCAUCUACUCAUAUAAUCCAUAUUUAUUACAGGGAAACAGACCUCAGUUCUGACUGCAGCUGUAGGAAUCAUAGUGGUUGUUCUGGUUCUCAUCCUCUGUCUUUCUGGACUCAUGUGUUUCAGGAAGAAGGCCUCCAAAUCCACCUCUGACACAAGAGACACAUCAGAGAAUGUACAGGUGAGUCAGAAUCAGAUUAUUUGUAUUGCUUUGUGGAACAUUCCUACUCCUUAUUCUGUCUGUCCUCUUCCCAUCAGGGAGACUCUAGUCCCGUGUAUGACAACAUUUCAGGCAUGGCCAUGGCCCCUACAACAGCACAGACAGCGGCCACCGUCGACCAGGAUGAUGUGCACUAUGCCAGAGUCCACGUCUUUCACUCCGAAAACCAGGAAGUGCCUCUGUACUCCACCGUCCAACUGCUUCAACCCCGGAAAAAGGAAGAGGAUGUCCAGUACGCUGCUGUGAAAUUCAACCUCCCCAGUGCUGCCAUCUGGUGAGCAUAUUCUGCUAUUACAACAACAUAUAGUCAUUACUACAUAGAACAUUGUGAACACACAGACAGCAUCAAGGUCAUUCAUAUGUUGCUGCUUAUUGGAGGAGUAGACAAUUAUGUCAUCAAUAAGCAAAUAAGUUGUCCCCGAGUCACCGCUCCUUGUUCCCUGAGAACUCCCUCCAUCACUACCUGAAGAGUUGAAGGAGCAUUCUUCAGGUCAGAUGACAUUUCAUUGAACUCAUUCUAUUGUGUAACAGUGGACAUUUUGAAAGUCGCAGUUUCAACGUCUAAAAGUUUCAGGGGUAUUCUUCAAACCAAAUGGCAUUUCCUGAAACUACUCAAGACAAUUACUAUGACAUGUCUAUAAUGAAGGAGUGAUGUGAUGUGAAGAUCUGAACACAACAAACCCAGAACCAAGAAGACCUGAACACAAUGAACACAGAACCAAGAAGACCUGAACACAACAAGUUUGACCAAAAGGCUCUGUAACUAGACCCGUAUAUUCAAACUGAGUGAUAAUAAUAUAUAUAUAAUUAAUAAUAUACACUGAGUGCACAAAAUAUUAAGAACAUGUUGUGUACCCUUAAAAGCACUUAUAUCUUUUGUCCAUUCACCCUCUGAAAGGCACACACAAUAUGACACAGUAAUCACAGACAGACAGACAGACAGACAGACAGACAGACAGACAGACAGACAGACAGACAGACAGACAGACAGACAGACAGACAGACAGACAGACAGACAGACAGACAGACAGACAGUUCAGUAUGUGUAUCAUGGGGCACAGGUAUGGAGUGACAGUGCCAGUGACAUCAACUGUGAAAUUCAAUGCCAUAAACUUUGUGUUAGCCAGUGUGAGAUUUUUUGGGGUGGGCUUUGUGAAAAGGGCAGGAGGGUAUCUGAUACUUUGAGGUGAGCGUGAAAGUGUUGGUUCGUGAGGAGGAGUUUGAGUAUAUGUGUGUGAAUACACCCCUGUUUGAUGACCUCUCACCUUUGCGUUUGAGGAAGUUGAAGGAAUGGCAGAAUCACCCUCUGAUCCCCCUCCAGCCUCCUUGGGGGUCUUGGGGCCCCCCUCAUUCCACAGCAGCAGGGAGAACUCAGCCCCCGGGAGGUCGAUAAGGCGCGUCACGUUACUCAGCACCAGCUCUACAUACACUCUUAGAAAAAAGGGUUCCAAAAGGGUUCUUCGGCUGUCCCCAUAGGAGAUCCACUUUUGAUUCCAGCUAGAACUCUGUUUGGUUCCAGGUAGAACUCCUUAGGGUCCCAUUUCAAACCCUCUUUGGAAAGGUUCUACAUAGAACUCAAAAGGGUUCUAUUAGGAACCAAAAGAGUUCUACCUGAUGAUCAAUAUAUAUACCACAAUUAUCAAAAGAGAAUGUCCUUCCUGAUGGUAGCAUAUGCAGUGGCGACCCAUCAUUCACGCAGGUGGAGCGUGUUUUUCCUGUUUUGCAUGUUAUUUUGGCAUUAAUACAUGUCACAUAAAAAAAUUGUCACGUAAAAAAUGUUAUAAUUGAGUUACUUUAACCAUAUCUACAUGUACAUACUACCUCAAUCAGCCUGACUAACCGGUGUCUGUAUGUGGCCUCACUACUUUUCUAGCCUCGCUACUGUAUAUAGCCUCGCUACUGUUAUUUUUCACUGUCUUUUUACUGUUGUUUUUAUUUCUUUACUCACCUAUUGUUCACCUAAUACCUUUUUUGCGCAAUUGGUUAGACCCUGUAAGUAAGCAUUUCACUCUAAGUUCUACACCUGUUGUAUUCGGCGCACGUGUGUCACGUCCUGGCCAGUAUAAGGUCAAUUGGUAUUGUAGUUUGGUCAGGACGUGGCAGAGGAUAUUUGUUUUAUGUGGUUCGGGGUGGUGUUUUGGAAAAUAGGGUGUUUGAUUUAGUAUUUCCGGGUUUUUGGUUUAUGGUCUGUGUUUAUGUAUUUCUAUGUGUUAUCUAGUUAGUUGUAUGUCUAUGUUUGGUUAAUUGGGGUGGACUUCCAAUUGAAGGAGGCUGUGUGGUGUUGCCUUUGAUUGGAAGUCCUAUAUUAGUUGGGUGUGUUUGUUUGUCUAAUUGUGGGAGAUUGUCUUUGGAUUGCUGUGUUGCCUUCAAGGCUGUCAUUUUGUCGUUCAUCGGUUUGCUUAUUUUUUGUAUACGUGGUUGUUUGGUUUUUUCCUUCUUUUCCGUUAAAUAAAGAAGAUGAGUAUACACAUACCUGCUGCGUUUUGGUCCGCCAUUUCUAACGACAAGCGUGACAACGUGACAAAUAAACUUUGAUUUGAUAAUAAAGCCGCAUACAAACA
rnacentral:lncRNA from 8 species